rnacentral:rRNA from 1 species
AACGGAAAGGCCCUGCUUGCAGGGUACUCGAGUGGCGAACGGGUGAGUAACACGUGGGUGAUCUGCCCUGCACUUCGGGAUAAGCCUGGGGAACUGGGUCUAAUACCGGAUAGGAGCCAUUUUUAGUGUGAUGGUUGGAAAGUUUUUUCGGUGUAGGAUGAGCUCGCGGCCUAUCAGCUUGUUGGUGGGGUAAUGGCCUACCAAGGCGGCGACGGGUAGCCGGCCUGAGAGGGUGGACGGCCACAUUGGGACUGAGAUACGGCCCAGACUCCUACGGGAGGCAGCAGUGGGGAAUAUUGCACAAUGGGCGCAAGCCUGAUGCAGCGACGCCGCGUGGGGGAUGACGGCCUUCGGGUUGUAAACUCCUUUCGCUAGGGACGAAGCUUUUUGUGACGGUACCUAGAUAAGAAGCACCGGCUAACUACGUGCCAGCAGCCGCGGUAAUACGUAGGGUGCGAGCGUUGUCCGGAAUUACUGGGCGUAAAGGGCUCGUAGGUGGUUUGUCGCGUCGUCUGUGAAAUUCCGGGGCUUAACUCCGGGCGUGCAGGCGAUACGGGCAUAACUUGAGUACUGUAGGGGUAACUGGAAUUCCUGGUGUAGCGGUGAAAUGCGCAGAUAUCAGGAGGAACACCGAUGGCGAAGGCAGGUUACUGGGCAGUUACUGACGCUGAGGAGCGA